CCCAUCCCUGUGGGGACUUGGGGUUUCUGCUCCUGACCUCUCUGCUGCCCAUUCUGUCCAGAUAGGAUGAAAGGAGCAGAAAGGGCUUGAACUUUGGGGACAGACCAAGUUGGGGUCAUCAUAGGGGCAACGUGGUAAUUGGGAAGAAUGGGGACGUUGGGUUCAGACUGAGUGUUGAAUCCUGAUUCAGUCACCUAGCAGCUGUGGGAAAAUGGGCAAGCACUUCCCCUCUCCGAACAUUACUUUCUUCCUCUGGAAAAUGGGGAUGUCGAUGAGAACCGAAUCCAAUUAUAAUACUACAUGUCUGAUGAUGAGAGGAGAAUCCCACUUCCACUUCCAAGCCGAACUUCCAGCUCCGUACAUGUCCAAUCUCGUUUCUCUUGUUACCCACCUAUCGCCAGCAUGGAAGGCACCAGGGCACACACAGCUCUUUCAGCACAACCGCGGGUCUCACUCCAUCAUGCUGUGAGCCAGGGCAGCAGCAUGCUUUCUGGAAGCCAUCGCUAUGCCAGCAUGCUUAAUAAUAAACUGUCGAUGGAAGGGAAGGCGAACCCCAUGCAUAUCCCCACUGGUCCCAAACUAAAGGUGUCCCCAACUCAGUGUCCCCAAAAUGCUACCUGUCGUGUGAUCAAGGGGGUUCAAGAAGAAAGAGCUAGUAGUUUUAACCAAUUGUUGUUAGAAUGUGCUACUUUCCUGAAUGUCCAUCAACUGACGAACGGAUAAACCCAAUGUGGCAUAUCCACACAAUGGGAUAUUAUUCAGUCAUAAAAUGAAUGAAGUGCUGACAC